rnacentral:rRNA from 1 species
CCUACGGUGUGCAGCAGUGGGGAAUAUUGGACAAUGGGCGAAAGCCUGAUCCAGCCAUGCCGCGUGUGUGAAGAAGGCCUUCGGGUUGUAAAGCACUUUCAGUGGGGAAGAAAGCCUUGGGGCUAAUACCCUCGAGGAAGGACAUCACCCACAGAAGAAGCACCGGCUAACUCCGUGCCAGCAGCCGCGGUAAUACGGAGGGUGCGAGCGUUAAUCGGAAUUACUGGGCGUAAAGCGCGCGUAGGCGGUCUGAUAAGCCGGUUGUGAAAGCCCCGGGCUCAACCUGGGAACGGCAUCCGGAACUGUCAGGCUAGAGUGCAGGAGAGGAAGGUAGAAUUCCCGGUGUAGCGGUGAAAUGCGUAGAGAUCGGGAGGAAUACCAGUGGCGAAGGCGGCCUUCUGGACUGACACUGACGCUGAGGUGCGAAAGCGUGGGUAGCAAACAGGAUUAGAUACCCAGUAGUC